AGUGAACGCUGGCGGUAGGCCUAACACAUGCAAGUCGAACGGCAGCACAGUAAGAGCUUGCUCUUACGGUUGGCGAGUGGCGGACGGGUGAGGAAUACAUCGGAAUCUACUUUUUCUUGGGUGAUAACGUAGGGAAACUUACGCUAAUACCGCAUACGACCUACGGGUGAAAGCAGGAGAUCUUCGGACCUUGCGCGAUUGAAUGAGCCGAUGUCGGAUUAGCUAGUUGGCGUGGUAAAGGCCCACCAAGGCGACGAUCCGUAGCUGGUCUGAGAGGAUGAUCAGCCACACUGGAACUGAGACACGGUCCAGACUCCUACGGGAGGCAGCAGUGGGGAAUAUUCGACAAUGGGCGCAAGCCUGAUCCAGCCAUACCGCGUGAGUGAAGAAGGCCUUCGGGUUGUAAAGCCCUUCUAUUGGGGAAGAAAAGCAGCAGGUUAAUACCCCGCUGUUCUGACGGUACCCAAAGAAUAAGCACCGGCUAACUUCGUG
rnacentral:rRNA from 1 species